CCUACGGGAGGCAGCAGUCGGGAAUUUUGGGCAAUGGGGGAAACCCUGACCCAGCAACGCCGCGUGAAGGAUGAAGUAUUUCGGUAUGUAAACUUCGAAAGAAUGGGAAGAAUAAAUGACGGUACCAUUUAUAAGCUCCGGCUAACUACGUGCCAGCAGCCGCGGUAAUACGUAGGGAGCAAGCGUUGUUCGGAUUUACUGGGCGUAAAGGGCGCGUAGGCGGCGCGGUAAGUCACUUGUGAAAUCUCUGAGCUUAACUCAGAACGGCCAAGUGAUACUGCAGUGCUAGAGUGCAGAAAGGGCAGUCGGAAUUCUUGGUGUAGCGGUGAAAUGCGUAGAUAUCAAGAGGAACACCUGAGGCAAAGGCGGGUUGCUAGGCUGACACUGACGCUGAGUGCGCGAAAGCCAGGGGAGCAAACGGGAUUAGAUACCCCGGUAGUCCUGGCCCUAAACGAUGAAUACUUGGUGUCUGGAGUUCUAAUACUCCGGGUGCCGUCGCUAACGUUUUUAGUAUUCCGCCUGGGGAGUACGCUCGCAAGAGUGAAACUCAAAGGAAUUGACGG
rnacentral:rRNA from 1 species